AAGCCUUACAUUAAGAGGGACAUCAACGAUCAAGAUGAACAAAGUAUUUGCUAUUUUUCUUUCUUUUACAAUUGUUGCUACGAGCUAUGCAACUCAAUGGAAGAAAGCAAAUUACAAGUUCAUUGAAGGAGACAUCAUCGGUAAAACAUCAUUCCAUUCUGACUUGAAAACAGCAAGUGUCAAUUGUAAACAACGAUGUGAAACUAUUCAAGGCUGCAAAGCAGUUCGGCUCUACGAUCUCGAUAUUGGACUGGUCUUCUGUACUUUAUUCAAACGUGUUACUAAAUACACGUGUCCGCUAGACAGCACAAAACUGGAAUGCGUAUUCGCUAAAGGAGAGUCGUGGGUAAAAAUAUCUUAAAGGAAUGCAAAGAAUGUCAAGACUGGAAUUGAGAAGUUUACUUUUAACUGGAAAACUACAAGGAUGAUGUAAUAAACUAAAAAGAACUUAUCUUAAUAAAUUGUCAACAAAAUUAUAUUACAAUUACAUGUAACUGGUUAGGUUCCACAUAGACUCCCCUUGGACGCAAGUAUUAAAAACGUAUUGUAACUGGAAAA
rnacentral:misc_RNA from 1 species